UUUCGAACAAUCAAAUCACUCUUUCUCUUCUGAUAAAUGUAUCAGGACUAAAUGGUUGAGAUGUGUUUAAACUGAUAAAUGCUUUCAACCCUCCCCUUACAUAUACUAGAAAUGAAAUGCUUUGAAAAGUACAAAUGACUUUGGAGCACAAAAAAUCUUCUUAUAGGCUUUGCAUUUUUCUUAUUUGGGAUUCAUGGACUAGAGAUAGCUCCCUCCUUCCUGCUAUUUCAUGGCCCCUCACUCUGCCACCUGUAGCGGGUAGCUUAAGGGAUGUGAGAGGACAUUUUUAGCCCAUUUGCACAUUUGUGGCGCACUCCCAGAAUUGUCAAAAAGAAAUUCUGAGAAGUCUGAGCGUACAUCCCGUACAAAAAGAGCAUCCAUGAAUUAGACCAUCAAAAGUCAAAAGUGUAAUUUGAAAUGAUAAACGCAUCCAUUUUAAGUUACACAUUACUUUGCAUAGUUAAUAUCACUGUAAUUAGUCAUAGUUCCCAUAAUUUAUUGAAAAAGAUGCUCAUCCCCUCCAGUGUACCACAGUGAUGAAUGUUGCAAGUGUAACUUUGGAAGCUGGAAUCAAGAAAAUUAGUAACAGUUGGAGAAUUAGCAUGUAAAUCAAUACUAUCCUUUGCUCUGCACUUGCAAACCCAGACCAGCAUCCUGCGUGGUCUCACCUAAGGGAUCCCCCAGGCCAGAUCUGGAAGAUCUACCACACAGAGCUGGGCAGGUUGCUGCUUUUUUUUUUUUAAACUGUAGGAAAUGUUUAAAACCCUCUCAAACAUUUGAGUAAAUCUCUAGUAAAUAUUUAAACUCUGCAUAACUAGUCACAAAUAAAUUAAGCUGAUUUUAUGCAGUCACUCUAAUUAGAAGGGCACAGCAUUUGUUGAAACGUGAUUAGUAUUAUUCAUUAAGCAAAAAAUUCUCAUUUGUAUCUUAUUAUCACUAUUCUGCAUAAACCAACACAAUUUGUCAUGAACUCCCUCAUUUGCUGUAUCCUCAAAAAGAAGAUUAUGCUUAUUUUUCAUUUGGACAGUGGAAAAUCAAGCCAGGUGUUUGGCAGCACCGGGGUGUUCAGGUGUAACUUUGCCAGUGAUGGUACAUUACUAGCAGCGUGGAUGAAGGAUGAGGCAUGGAGAAUCUUGGGACUGAGGUGCCUUGAGGCCCAUCCCUUCAGAGUGGCCCUGCUGAUGAGACAGAAAUUGUAAAAAGGCUCGCCUGUAUUCCUGCUGCGUCUGGGCUCCUGGCAUGUGUAGUUGGAGAUGCCGCCGCCGCCACCGCCACCUC
rnacentral:lncRNA from 1 species